rnacentral:misc_RNA from 1 species
GAAAUGCGAUAAUUAAUGUGAAUUGCAGAAUUCAGUGAAUCAUCGAGUCUUUGAACGCACAUUGCGCCCCCUGGUAUUCCGGGGGGCAUGCCUGUCCGAGCGUCAUUGCUGCCCUCAAGCACGGCUUGUGUGUUGGGCUUCCGUCCCUGGCAACGGGGACGGGCCCAAAAGGCAGUGGCGGCACCAUGUCUGGUCCUCUAGCGUAUGGGGCUUUGUCACCCGCUCCCGUAGGUCCAGCUGGCAGCUAGCCUCGCAACCAAUCUUUUUAACCAGGUUGACCUCGGAUCAGGUAGGGAUACCCGCUGAACUUAAGC